AUUCCAGCUCCAAUAGCGUAUAUUAAUGUUGUUGCAGUUAAAAAGCUCGUAGUUGGAUUUCUGGUCUAAGCGCCUGGCCGGCUCCGCAAGGGGUCGUGCAUGGGUGGUACCUUGGUCCAUCCUCAGGGGAACUGCCACUGGUAUUCAUUUAUCGGUGUUGGGACGCCUGUCGUUUACUGUGAACAAAUUAGAGUGUUCAAAGCAAGGUGUACUUGAAUACAUUAGCAUGGAAUAAUAAGAUAGGACUUUGGUGGUUCUUUCGAGAUAUUUUGUUGGUUUGCACGCCAAAGUAAUGAUUAAUAGGAGCAGUUGGGGGUAUUCGUAUUCAAUUGUCAGAGGUGAAAUUCUUGGAUUUAUAGAAGACGAACUACUGCGAAAGCAUUUACCAAGGAUGUUUUCAUCG
rnacentral:rRNA from 1 species